rnacentral:piRNA from 1 species
GCAAACGUGACUAUGCGACAAUACUAGU